rnacentral:rRNA from 1 species
AUGGUUUGGUGGAAGCUUUGUGUUCCUAAAAGUGAAGGACAUAUGGGGUUUCGGGACCUAUACAAUUUUAAUCUAGCAAUGCUUGCAAAACAAUGCUGGAGGCAGAUAACUGAACCAGAAUCUUUGGUGGCAAGAAUGCUUAAAACAAAGUAUUACCCAAAUGGGUCUCUACUGGAGGAAACAUCAAAGAAUGACUCCUCGUUUACUUGGCAAAGUAUUCUAAAAGGGCUUGACACCUUCAAAAAAGGUUAUAUAUGGAGAAUUGGAACUGCAGAGAAGGUAAACAUUUGGAGAGACCCAUGGAUUCCAUCUAGUGCGGUCAGAAUGAUAAUCACUCCAAGAGGUCAAACAAUUAUUACAAGAGUAUGUGAACUAAUUAAUCUGGUUAAUGGGUCAUGGGAUGAAGCCUUGAUUACAGAAUUGUUUAAUCCGGUGGAUGUUCGCAGAAUACUUUAGAUUCCUUUACAUUUACAAGGUUUUCAUGACUUUAUUGCUUGGUACCCAAAUAGAACAGGAACAUUUUUCGUCAUAAGUUCUUAUCAUAUGCAAUGGAUGCAUAGGUUUCGGGGGCAUGCAAUGAUGGAGAGACACCCUGGUGGGUCUACCCCAUUAGCAGUCUGGAAAACACUAUGGAAGCUUCAAGUCCUACGUAAGGUUUAGAUUUUUGGAUGGAGAACAUUGCGAGGAAUAAUUCCGCUUCGAGCUAUACUUGCUAAUAGACAUAUAGGUUCAAAUGGGGAUUGUCCAAUUUGUAACCAGGGAGCGAAGGACAUCCGACACCUGCUUUUCCAGUGCACUAAUGCGAGGGAGUUAUGGAGUAGACUGGGUGUGACACAUAUUAUUGACCAAGCAAUUCAAGUGGAUAGAUCUGGUUCGGCGAUUUUGAAUUUAUAUUGUCUUUACGAGACCAGCAGCUCGCGGUUCAUCAAGACAUGA